rnacentral:rRNA from 1 species
GCGAUACAGGACGUCGUUUCAACGUGGUGUAGGCUGAUUGGAUUGCCUCAGGGCGUUUAAGAUCCCGAUAUCCACGACGAGACGACCGAGAAAACUGCGCGGGAAACCGUACUAAAACCGACACAGGUAGGCGGGAUGAGUAUUCCAAGGCGCUCGAGAGAACGCUCGUGAAGGAACUCUGCAAAUUGACCCCGUAACUUCGGGAAAAGGGGUGCUCACGCUUGCGUGAGCCGCAGCGAAAAGGUUCUAGCGACUGUUUACUAAAACACAGGUCUGUGCGAAGGCGUGAGCCGCGGUAUACAGACUGACGCCUGCCCGGUGCUGGUAAGUUAAGGGAGGAGGUUAGCCCGUAAGGGUGAAGCUUGCGACCGAAGCUCCAGUAAACGGCGGCCGUAACUAUGACGGUCCUAAGGUAGCGAAAUUCCUUGUCGGGUAAGUUCCGACCUGCAUGAAUGGCGUAACGACUGGAACACUGUCUCCACGAGCGACUCGGUGAAAUUGUAGUUGUCGUGAAGAUGCGACAUACCCGC